GACAGAGGGUGCAAACGUUGUUCGGAAUUACUGGGCGUAAAGCGCGUGUAGGCGGCUUGGCAAGUCGGGUGUGAAAGCCCUGGGCUCAACCUAGGAAGUGCACUCGAAACUGCCUCGCUGGAGUGCCGGAGAGGAAAGCGGAAUUCUCGGUGUAGAGGUGAAAUUCGUAGAUAUUGGGAAGAACACCGGUGGCGAAGGCGGCUCACUGGUCCGAUACUGACGCUGAGGUGCGAAAGCGUGGGGAGCAAACAGG
rnacentral:rRNA from 1 species